GGGCAAAGUCUUUAGCAUUGAGAAUGAAGAGACAGCAAUGGAUUUAGGAAACAUUGCAAAGAAAGAGCAAAUUGGAUUUGGUGACAACCUAGAUGUUGGGGUAGAAGAAAAUGAACGGAAUUGAAUGUGAUACUAAACCUGGGUAGUGGAGAGGAUAGUGGAAAUAGUGACAUUGAUUGAGAAUGUAGAGCUUGAGGGCGCAAUCAAUGAGUUUAGUUUUUACCAUACAGAAUUUGAACAGUGAUAGGACAUCCAGGAGAUGUCAGAUAUGUGAGACUGAACAGAAAGAGACAGACUUUGAAAUUACUGACGUAAAGUUGGCCGUUGAAACCAUGAGAACAGAUGAAGCAACUCAGAGAUAAGGUGUUAUGGCAGAAGAAUAAAGAGCUUAGGAUAGAUCUCUGAGAAGACAUUGACAUUAGGGGGAGAGGGAAGGGAAGUGGAAUCAGAGGUCUUUAAAAUUGUUGAUGGGGUCAUUGGUAACCUUGGUAAGAGCAGUUUCAGUGGAUUAAAAAACCUAAAUUGAAAGAAACCCAAAGAGGAAGCUGAAGCAGUAAGAAUACAAUAUGUACACAAUCAUCUUGAAGGCAAAGGAAAGAGGGAACUGAUGUGAUAAUUGGACAGUUUUUUUUAUCAAGAAAGGGAUGUUUAAAUAUUGUGGUUAACAGGGUGUGGUGGGGCGCAUGCCCCACGCUGGCAGAAAAGGGCUUAAACCAACCCCAGGGAAGCUGUGCAGGAGGCAGCCAAUUAGGAAAGGGCUUGUAGAGACAGCCAAUUGGGAGAAGGGUUAGAGAGACAGCCAGUCAGGGCCAGGCCGGACCAUAUAAGAAGGGCUGCUGAACAAAGCAGCUUGAGUCACUUCCUGGAGUUCGAGGAGGUAGGACUGGCUGCCCUGAAGGAGGGAGAGGAGACAGCACCAUGGUGAGAGCAGUGCUGGGCGGGGUCAGGGGAGCAGGAGUGAGCUCCCAGCUGACCACUGCCAGAGUGAGGCCCUGAUACAAAGGCGGAGAAGGUGCUAGGGCUGCAGGGAAGGGGCCCAGGGAAACAGACGGCAGGGGUUGGAGAUGACGCAGCACAUGGCUGCUGCCCCCCCUCCCCCUUUGGCCCCAGCUGCUAUUGACGCAGGUGGCUAGACACGGGACUUCAGCCUGCCACGAGGCAAGUGGCUGCACAAAGGACUGCCACCACCGCCCCUUGCCUACCCCUCCUCCCCCCGAAGGGGGGGAGAGAAACAAAUGGGGAACAGCCAGAGGGCUGUGUCCAGAAGAGGACACCGUGGUCCUGUGAGCAACAUGGGCCUGGGGACAGAAGUGAAAGUGGCGAGAUGCCCCUGGAUGAAGAUGCACUGGCAAACCAGAGGUAAUUCCUUGGAUGGACAGCAGGAGGCGCCAAAGUGCUUUCUCCCGCAUUCACUCUCCUUCCUGUGCACUGAAUGAAGCAAGGGUCUUGCAGAUCAAGCAUGGGAUCAUCUACCAUAGUAUUGGGGAGUUAUUUGUGGGACCAAAAUAAGACAAGACCUGGUCUUCUCAGGGUUUCCACUCCUGAAUGGUAGAAAUGCAGCAUGAAAACUGGGCCUCGAAUUAUUUCAGCCCACCGAGG